AUUGAACGCUGGCGGCAUGCCUUACACAUGCAAGUCGAACGGUAACAGGUCUUCGGAUGCUGACGAGUGGCGAACGGGUGAGUAAUGCAUCAGAACGUGCCCAGUAGUGGGGGAUAGCCCGGCGAAAGCCGGAUUAAUACCGCAUACGACCUGAGGGUGAAAGGGGGGGAUCGCAAGACCUCUCGCAAUUGGAGCGGCCGAUGUCAGAUUAGCUAGGUGGUGGGGUAAAGGCCUACCAAGGCAACGAUCUGUAGUUGGUCUGAGGGGACGACCAGCCACACUGGGACUGAGACACGGCCCAGACUCCUACGGGAGGCAGCAGUGGGGAAUUUUGGACAAUGGGCGCAAGCCUGAUCCAGCAAUGCCGCGUGCAGGAAGAAGGCCUUCGGGUUGUAAACUGCUUUUGUCAGGGAAGAAAUCCUCUGGGUUAAUACCUCGGGGGGAUGACGGUACCUGAAGAAUAAGCACCGGCUAACUACGUGCCAGCCGCCGCUGUAAAAC
rnacentral:rRNA from 1 species